rnacentral:rRNA from 1 species
AUUGAACGCUGGCGGCAUGCCUAACACAUGCAAGUCGAACGAGAGGCGGACUGGUGGGCAAUGUCUGGAAACCUGCCCGAUGGAGGGGGAUGACUACUGGAAACGGUAGCUAAAACCGCAUACCAUCCGAUGGGCCGAAGUGGAAUUAUCUAGUCGGUGGGGUAACGGCUCACCAAGGCGACGAUCCCUAGCUGGUCUAAGAGGAGGACCAGCCACACUGGAACUGAGACACGGGCCAGACUCAUACGGGAGGCAGCAGUGGGGAAUAUUGGACAAUGGACGCAAGCCUGACCCAGCCACGCCGCGUGAGUGAAGAAGGGCUUCGGGUUGUAAAGUUCUUUCAGCGGGGAGGCGUUAUUCGACGAGGAAGCAACGGCUAACUCCGUGCCAGCAGCCGCGGUAAUAC